rnacentral:lncRNA from 1 species
CUGCGGGGCAUUUGGAAACAAGGCAUCAAGCACCAGAUGCCCCAUAAAACACUGGGGUGCCACCCUCCUCCCCUUGGCCUGGGCUCCAAGGGGCUGAAGGAGAACGUGGAGCAAUGGAGUCAGCAGGACCAGCGGCACCAGGCUGAGCCGUUGAACCAGGCUGAGAGGGAGAAGGUAGAGAGACAAAGGCAAGAAGCAGAGCAGAGGAAGGCCCUGCUCCACAGGUUCUCCAGGAGACCCCGAGAGGGGCAGAAGGGCACCUGGAAGGAAGGCACAGAAUCUUGGGAUUAUGUGAGGUGUCCGCAUAUGCCAAAGCCUGUCUACACCACCAGGAGGCCUUCUAUCCCUGAGCCUGGCCUGCUGAUGCAGCCCCGCACUGAGGCCCCUGACAUGAGACUCUGGUCCCAUUCCACAUCUCCUCUGAGUAGCCCUAAAGUUUGCCUCAGGCCACCUGGUGGACCUCCUGAUGCCCAGGAAAUGCCAACCGCUGACACAGCUCAGCCGGCACGCCAACCCUGUGUCAGGGCUGAUGGGCUAUUUGUGCAGCUGAGAUCCAAGAGGGCCUUCAGAGUCUCCCAUGAGGGUCCGCAGGUUGGCUCCAAGGUCCAUGGGCUCUGACACACCCAGGCACUGCCCAAGUGUCCUGAGGAGAACACCCCACCAGCUGUCAGCAAUGCAUUGGCAGACAAUUCCCAAAUGCCCCUCCAGACUCCAGGCAAGAAAUGUGCCCAGAUGCCCCUAGACAAGUUCCAGAACCCCCAAAAAAACCACGAUGGAGGCCCUCCCAGCACUGCUCUAGGAUCAUCGAGGAAGCCCAUUCGGGGAUUUUAGGGAGUCUGUGUCCUCUGGCAAGCAGAUGUGCAUUUGGAUGCACAGCCAUGCCCCCGCAGACCAGGAAGACACUUGCCCUCCUGCCAAGCAAUGACCCCCAGGUCACACAUGCCACACCUCACCUGGAAAGGCUGCAGCAGUGCACCGUGCCCCCACGGCCACCCUCUGUGCUGGCCCCCAUUCAGCCCCUGAGAAUGGUCUUCACCAGAUUGGACAGAAGCUCCUGGAGCUCCAGGUUCCUAGCAGCUCCCUCAUUCCUUCCUCUUGAGAAGCCAGGCCCUGCUCAGGACCCUCCCUCCCCCCUCCGCCCCCAUCUCGGACAGAGCCUGUGUCUGUGUCACCUGGAGUGUCCUCCAUGAUGACGUACAGGUCUUUUCAUCCUCAGAAGAUACUGAGAGUGAAUGAGUCAUCUUCUGGCUUCAGAUACUUUUUUUCCACCGAACUGCACCCUCAGGGGGACUGGCGCCUCAGGACGUGGCCACUCCUGGACUCAUGUGGGGAAUCAGCACUUGCUCAGCUGCUUUGCAUGGAAAUUCCCGGGUCAACAGCGUGAUGCCUCUC